UACGUAGGGUGCAAGCGUUGUCCGGAAUUAUUGGGCGUAAAGAGCUCGUAGGCGGUCUGUUGCGUCGGCUGUGAAAACCCGAGGCUCAACCUCGGGCCUGCAGCCGAUACGGGCAGACUAGAGUUCGGCAGGGGAGACUGGAAUUCCUGGUGUAGCGGUGAAAUGCGCAGAUAUCAGGAGGAACACCGGUGGCGAAGGCGGAUCUCUGGGCCUUACCUGACGCUCAGGCACGAAAGCUAGGGGAGCGAACAGG
rnacentral:rRNA from 1 species